AGCAGUCGCCGCGGGAAUACGUAGGUGGCAAGCGUUGUCCGGAAUUAUUGGGCGUAAAGGGCUCGCAGGCGGUUUCUUAAGUCUGAUGUGAAAGCCCCCGGCUCAACCGGGGAGGGUCAUUGGAAACUGGGAAACUUGAGUGCAGAAGAGGAGAGUGGAGUUCCACGUGUAGCGGUGAAAUGCGUAGAGAUGUGGAGGAACACCAGUGGCGAAGGCGACUCUCUGGUCUGUAACUGACGCUGAGGAGCGAAAGCGUGGGGAGCGAACAGGAUUAGAGACCCCAGUAGUCCCUGUCUCUUAUAC
rnacentral:rRNA from 1 species